rnacentral:rRNA from 1 species
GAUGAACGCUGGCGGCGUGCCUAAUACAUGCAAGUCGAGCGAACAGAUAAGGAGCUUGCUCCUUUGAAGUUAGCGGCGGACGGGUGAGUAACACGUGGGUAACCUACCUAUAAGACUGGGAUAACUUCGGGAAACCGGAGCUAAUACCGGAUAACAUUUAGAACCGCAUGGUUCUAAAGUGAAAGAUGGUUUUGCUAUCACUUAUAGAUGGACCCGCGCCGUAUUAGCUAGUUGGUAAGGUAACGGCUUACCAAGGCGACGAUACGUAGCCGACCUGAGAGGGUGAUCGGCCACACUGGAACUGAGACACGGUCCAGACUCCUACGGGAGGCAGCAGUAGGGAAUCUUCCGCAAUGGGGGAAAGCCUGGCGGAGCAACGCCGCGCGAGUGAUGAAGGGUUUCGGCUCGUAAAACUCUGUUAUUAGGGAAGAACAAAUGUGUAAGUAACUGUGCACAUCUUGACGGUACCUAAUCCAGAAAGCCACGGCUAACUACGUGCCAGCAGCCGCGGUAAUACGUAGGUGGCAAGCGUUAUCCGGAAUUAUUGGGCGUAGCGCGCGUAGGCGGUUUCUUAGUCUGAUGUGAAAGCCCACGGCUCAACCGUGGAGGAUCAUUGGAAACUGGGAAACUUGGGUGCAGAAGAGGAAAGUGGAAUUCCAUGUGUAGCGGUGAAAUGCGCAGAGAUAUGGAGGAACACCAGUGGCGAAGGCGACUUUCUGGUCUGUAACUGACGCUGAUGUGCGAAAGCGUGGGGAUCAAACAGGAUUAGAUACCCUGGUAGUCCACGCCGUAAACGAUGAGUGCUAAGUGUUAGGGGGUUUCCGCCCCUUAGUGCUGCAGCUAACGCAUUAAGCACUCCGCCUGGGGAGUACGACCGCAAGGUUGAAACUCAAAGGAAUUGACGGGGACCCGCACAAGCGGUGGAGCAUGUGGUUUAAUUCGAAGCAACGCGAAGAACCUUACCAAAUCUUGACAUCCUUUGAAAACUCUAGAGAUAGAGCCUUCCCCUUCGGGGGACAAAGUGACAGGUGGUGCAUGGUUGUCGUCAGCUCGUGUCGUGAGAUGUUGGGUUAAGUCCCGCAACGAGCGCAACCCUUAAGCUUAGUUGCCAUCAUUAAGUUGGGCACUCUAGGUUGACUGCCGGUGACAAACCGGAGGAAGGUGGGGAUGACGUCAAAUCAUCAUGCCCCUUAUGAUUUGGGCUACACACGUGCUACAAUGGACAAUACAAAGGGCAGCUAAACCGCGAGGUCAUGCAAAUCCCAUAAAGUUGUUCUCAGUUCGGAUUGUAGUCUGCAACUCGACUACAUGAAGCUGGAAUCGCUAGUAAUCGUAGAUCAGCAUGCUACGGUGAAUACGUUCCCGGGUCU